CGCAAUUUACACUUUGGGUGUUUACUUACUCAGUACAGUAUUUUAUUUUUAUAAAAAUCAGGUUCGGAAAAUACAUGUUAUACAAAAAUGGCGGAAAGAGAAGGAUAUGACCAGCCAGGAGAUGGAUACACAGGUAAAACCAGCAGUAACGGAGCCGCGGAACCACAUUCUUAUGACAAUGUAGUAAUUCAACACAGGUACAAACACAACCAGGUUAUUGUGGGUCGCCCUACUCUUUCGAGCCGACUGCAACUGUGGUUUUGAAUCAACCACCUCAGGCUAGAGAAAUAAUUGUUAAAAAGCAAACCCCUGAUUACAUGGUACUUUCAAUAAUUGCUUGUAUUCUUUGCUUCUGGCCUACGGGCCUUUGUGCUAUCUACUAUGCAAACGAGGC
rnacentral:lncRNA from 1 species